UACUAGAAAAACCAACCUUCCUUUGAAACCUAUAAAACCUUCAUCUUCUUCAAUGGCUGCCAAUACUUUCAUCACCAAGUUGGUCGAGGAAUGCACUAAAUGCCAAAGCAUCACUAAUCGAAACACUAUCAAAACCAUCUGAUUUGAGGAUGAGCCAAAUGCUUCCCACUAAACCCUCGGUCCAUUGUUCAAAGACGAUGUUCCAGAAGUGAUCAUCGAAAUGCUCAAGGAGCAUUGCUUGAAACCCUUAUUCCAAGGGUAUGAUUGGUCGAAAUGGGAAUUGGCCAAACCCCAAGGCGUUUGGCCUUCGAUCACUGCGGCCUAGGUUGCCUGGUUCACUCAGAUGGAGCCACAUUUCGGCGACGAAUGGAAAGCUCUAGGCAUUUUUUAUGUCAUUAAACUCUCGACCAUCGAGAUGAGCUUAGAUCGAGAGCUCGUGAUGGCUGCUUUGAGCUUCUGGUGCUCGGCCACCAAUACGAUGGUUCUCCCCCUCGGCCCCUUGGCCCAACAGUGAUGGACAUCACAACCAUACUUGGCACCUCUCCUACCGGCCUCCCAGUCGACAAGUCUCUCUCCGGGUAUCAAUUUGACCUGGACCUGAAAACCAUUUUCGAGGAGCAUGCCAUUGAAUCCCUGACAAAGGAAAACCAAAAGCUGUCGAAGGAAGAUGCGUAUAAACUACAUAAAAAAUUCUUCAACUAUAACACCCUAAUCACUCACUUCACUGGCUCGAGAGGGGAAAAUCUUAAAAAGGGUGAACACGGGGCCUUCUUAUUCUACUGGUACAACAAAUAUAUAUAUUGUGCCAAGUCAAAUAAAUGCUUGGCUGAGAAUAUGCCUAUUGCCGAAGCCUUGGCUAGCGGUCAUGUCCUGGCCCUUAGUCCGGCCGUUCUUGCUAACCUCACCAAAACGGCCCGUUCUGGGUUUUUCAGCUCUGGUUGCAGGUCUAUUUCUCUGCGUUGCGGCCAGACCUUGCAAGUUUCAACUCUUCCGAAGCCAUAGGCCUUGAGCUGGCCUCACGACCCAUUCUUUCCCACUUGGCCAAAGAGAUCUUCAAAUAUUUCUUUGGCCUAAAAGACCUGUCGGACGACGAAUUCCAUAUUUGCCAUCGCCGAGCGUACCCCCCUUCCAUCAUCCUUCAACAUUGGCAUGGAAAGAUGUCGACGAAGCUGAUCUCCAAAAUUUCUAGGGGUCAUUUAUCAUCACUCGCAACCUGCCCUAUGGUUGCAAGGCUCGACGAGGAAGCUGGGAAGUUUAUCACCCAAACUUCUUGGCUCGUCAACUGGGUUUUCUUCAAGGAUGCCAUAUGCCAUUCCUUACUUCUCUUUCCCUCUUGAGCCGAGAACGCUUCUUCGGCUCUUCAGAGAGGGAGUGUGAAGUAGCUAAGAAGGAUUUCAAGGAGUGGUGUGCCAAAUUCAGUCUUCGACUGAAAACUCCAGAAUCCCGUUAUGCUAGCAUCUUUGCCGAUUGGUGGGAUACCUAUACUAAGGAUUUCUUCAGAACUUCGGCUGAGGAAAUCUCACAAAAGCUUUUUGGCGACGACCCCAAAAAAACUCUCGCCCUAAAAUCCAGAGAAAUGGCCCAAGGUGAUUGGGAUGGCCACGGCUAAGAAAAAACUUACCACUCCCAUGAGGAAAACUGCAACUGUCGCACUAACCCCAUCAAGCAAACGAUUUCGUCCGAAUGCCGAGACGGUUGAUGAAGCUCCCCGGGCGAGAAAAUGUGUUAAGAAAUUGGCAAAGAAAGGGGAACAAGAGAUCCAUGUUAUCUUUAGCCAAACCAUGGGAGCAACUACUCCCAGUGCCUUUCUCAUUUCCCCUGCUGUCAAGGUCUCGGCCAUGGUGUAGGGAGACUUAGUGAUUGAGCUGGUCACCAAUCCGGCUGUCGAAUAGCCUACAACUUCAACACUGGCCGCUGCUCACGUCGAAGUCAGCCUGGCGGUUGCUACCCCGAAGAGAGCAACUUUUGUAGCAAAAAAAAAUCUCCCCCCGAAUCCAAAAAAAGCUUCAACAAUCAUCCUAGAAUAAGAGGAGGAUGAAAGUGAAGGGCCCCUACUGGUAAAACAUCCUCAACCAGCCGAAUUGCCGACUAUCACUUCUCAACUGGCAGUCGAGGCGGUGGAUCAAGCCGAUGCUCCCACAGCUGAAGCAGGUUUGGGUUAUGAAACACCACUCCAUGUCGAGCCAGAAGCAACAGCCGAGAUGCCGAUUCAUCUCUAGGACCAGAAUCUCAAUAUCCCUCCCCAGGAUGUUACUUUAACCUUUCUUCAUGGGAAGUCGAGCUCGACGCUCUCCUCUUGAGUACUUCUGGAGUAGCCGGGCUUUCUGUUGCGUCGACCGAGCCUUCAGUAAUCGCGGUCGAAUCCAAUACCUUCGUCAAGUUUCAGGAACUUCUAUCCCUUUUAGCCUCACAAGUCCUUUAAUGUAAAGGCAUCGACUCUGUAGAAUAAUGCUUGAACGAUCUUGUAGCCGAUGGCUUGUUGAGCACCGAAAGUGUCGUCCACUUAUCCAAUAUCCUGGAGCGGACCCGACAAUACUUCGCCACUUUUGAAAGGGCUCUCCGAGCUGAGGAUAACCUUAAGUCUAUAAAGGCAGCUCAUGAUGCUAGCCAACCGAAGGUUGAAGCUAUAAAAGCAAAGAAGACUCGACUGGUUGACCUUGAUCGUCAGAUCGCCAAACUCCAGCGUCAAAGGUCGAUCGUCGCUUCAGAGCUCGAGAAAGAUUUUGAGGCGAAUAAGUCCAUCCUGACAGACCACAUAGCCAACUCAAAGCGGAUACAACAACUGCAGCUUGAUAAAAGAACAAGACAAACCGAAGUUACAAUGGGUGAAGUAAGGUGGUUGGAACUGAAAGCCGCUCUUAAAGCCUUCCUUCCUUCGACCCCUUAGGAUUUUGGCCUUAUUAACCAACUGUUGGAUUCUUUUUGUAAUUCUUGUUUGUAAGCCUUUUUGCAAAAUUAAUGAAACAAAACUUUUAUU